GUGCCAGCAGCCGCGGUAAGACGAACCGUGCGAACGUUAUUCGGAUUCACUGGGCUUAAAGGGCGCGUAGGCGGACGAGCAAGUCCGGGGUGAAAUCUUUCGGCUCAACCGGAAAAGUGCCUUGGAUACUGCUCGCCUUGAGGGAGGUAGGGGCAUGUGGAACUUCCGGUGGAGCGGUGAAAUGCGUUGAUAUCGGAAGGAACGCCGGUGGCGAAAGCGACGUGCUGGCCCUCUUCUGACGCUGAGGCGCGAAAGCCAGGGGAGCAAACGGGAUUAGAUACCCCGGUAGUCC
rnacentral:rRNA from 1 species